rnacentral:misc_RNA from 1 species
GAUGAAGAACGCAGCGAAAUGCGAUAAGUAAUGUGAAUUGCAGAAUUCAGUGAAUCAUCGAAUCUUUGAACGCACAUUGCGCCCGCCAGUAUUCUGGCGGGCAUGCCUGUUCGAGCGUCAUUACAACCCUCAGGCCCCCGGGCCUGGCGUUGGGGAUCGGCGGAGCCCCCCGUGGGCACACGCCGUCCCCCAAAUGCAGUGGCGGUCCCGCCGCAGCUUCCAUCGCGUAGUAGCUAACACCUCGCGACUGGAGAGCGGCGCGGCCACGCCGUAAAACACCCAACUUCUGAAUGUUGACCUCGGAUCAGGUAGGAAUACCCGCUGAACUUAAGCAUAUCAAUAAGCGGAGGA